CGACAAGGGUGCGCUCUGUCGGGGAUGCUCUAUGCACUCUCCCUAGAACCCCUCCUGAGCAAAAUACGCUCCUGCAUGCAAGGACUGGUUUUACCUGGUUUUAAUUUUAAACAACCUUGUGGCAUCCCAACUCUGGCAUCCCAACUCUGGCACCGAUAGACCCCCCAUCAGACUUACUACAAAAACUACAACGAAAAAUAGAUUUUUUUUGGGACGGUCUCCAUUGGGUGCCACAGGGGGUGUUGUUUUUAACCAGAGAGGAGGGGGGACAGGGCCUCAUCCACUUAGCCAGCCGAGCUGCGACAUUUAGAUUACAAUUUAUACAAAGGUAUUUAACAGGUCCGGCAGAUCUAGUUUGGAGGGAUGUGGCCAGCUGCAUUCUCAGACGUGCAAAUAACUUGGGACUGGAUGCUGCUCUGUUUUUAACUGAUUUAAAAUUUUUAAAGUUAAGUGGGUUGCCUCCGUUUUAUCAGGGUGUUUUUAAAUCCUGGGUCCUUUUUAAUCAAAAAAGGUGCCAAAAGUCUAACUCUCUGCACUGGUUGUUGAAGGAGCCACUGAUACACAGAGCCAGGCUGGACGUCAGCAGCAGCGUCACACCCGGCCUGAUGGUGGCGCUGUGCAGGAGCAAGACCCUGUGCCUGCAGCAACUGGUGGAUGCGGUGGGGCCGGCGCUGAACAAUGCUGUGGCCCUGGGGUCUCUGCUGGGACUGCGCUCAAUCCGGGUUGCUACAACGUUUUUGGAGCUCUGGAGGCAAAGGUUGUCUGGAAGAGAAAAGAGCCUCCUGAUGGACUACAACCAGGGAAAGGCUGUCCCGGACUCCACAGACCCGUUUCCAGAAAUCUAUCUGACCCCAGGACUAGGAGACUUGACCGGCCCCUUGCUUACCGUCAUCAACGAAAGUAAACUGACGUUACACCGAGCUGACUCAAAAACUAUCUACUCUAAUUGUGUCAAGUGUAUCAACAGGAAUGGACUGUGCAACAGACCAGCCACAGUGUGGAGUAAAAGACUAGCUGGGGAAAGUGGACCCGGCCCACAGUGGAAUGUUUUAUACAAACCUCCCCUUAAAAAACGGACUGCCAACCUCCAGUGGAGGAUUUUACAUGGUGCCAUUGCCUCCAACGCUUUUAUUUCUGUUCUUAAUCUGCUGUUCUGCUGUUAGUUACAAGUGUCCUUUUUGCCACGUACGCGAGACUGUCUACCAUGUUUUUAUUGAGUGUAAGAAACUCACAGAGUUCUUCACUCAUUUAACAUUGGUUUUUAGUCGUUUUGGUGUAAGUUUCUCCGAGAAGGUUUUUAUCAUGGGUGCUGGCUAUAAAAAGACAAACAGAGAAAAGUGGCUGCUUCUAAACUUUCUGUCAGGAGAAGCAAAAAUGCCAGUUUACGAUAGCAGAAAAAAACGCAUAGAGAACAGAGAGGGACAGGACGCCAGAUCAGUCUGGCUCUGUAACAUCAGAGCCAGACUGUGGCUCGAAUAUACAUUUUAUAAACACAUUGGAGAUUUGGAUACUUUUAAGCAGCGCUGGUGCUAUAAAAACAUAAUUUGUUCGGUAAAUGGAAAUGAAUUGAAUUUUACACAAGUUUUCACUGGAUAAUUUAUUUUUUAAUAUGCCAAAACAUACAAAGUAACACUUUGUAAAUAUAGUUUGUAACACUACUGUGUAUUUUUAAAAAUCAAAUCUCUCUCUCUCUCUCUCUUUCUCCCAUUUAUUAUCUAAUUAGCUGUUAUUACCUAUGUAAGCCCAAAUAACAGACAUGACAAUACCUCCCUCCAGAAUCAUGGCAGUGGAGAUGGGACUUAAUCCCUGCAACGGCACUCGUUAACGUUAUUUUCAGCAUUCUUGUGCUUGGAACACUCAUUUAGUGAGUAAUAUCUUACCCUUGUUUAGACAGUUUUCUUUCUGUAAGUAAGCGCCAUAUUUUUCGUGUUUGCUAGUAAUGAUGUGUGUAGUAAUGUCGGCUAACGCUAGCUCAGAGCUACAGAGCUCUGCGCUAGCUGAACUAUAUUCUGGACAUAACGUGGCUAAAUUUUGAUGGAACUUGGUCAAUGUUUUCAACCCACGACUUCCUCGGUGUUGAAAAUAGGGAACAUUAAACACUUUUGUCACGUUAAAUUUGAGGAGAAACUAACGGUCGCAGGCGUGCUCGUCACAAAUGAACUUUAUUAAUUAUUAUUUCCAAUAUGUAUCUAAGUUUUAUUUAUCAUGAUUAUUUUGAGUAUUAAUGACUUUUAUCUCUAUGAGUUAUUUUCAUCUACUAUUAUUAUGUGAAAUUUCCCGGUGGAAAUGAACUUUGCACUCUGCCCUUUUCGUGCCUCCUGGGCUUCUGUAGCCCCUCCCCUUCUGCCCUCACAGUCCCGGUUGUGUCGUUGAGGGAGAAGAGGUGCAGAGGUGAAGAAAGGCAGAAGGCUGAUGUAUGUUUUGAUGUCUUCUGCAGGUGUUUGCUGAGUUCAACAGAAUCGCAAGUAAGGAUCUUGGGGGAGAUUUCUUUGAGGCUCUGGACCAGUAUACCCUGCGUUUCAUUGAACUUCAUAACAAAAAAGGGAGCUGUUGGCUAGAAGCUCAGUGAGCUGAUGCAGAACAUGAGCUGGAUGACACCAGACGUGACAGUACUUCACUCUGUUGUCCUCAAAGGCAUUCCUAUUUUACUUGGUGAGGACUCCAGUGAAUUCUCCAAGGCAUGCUCUGAUACAGCGAGAGACGAGGCCCUGGAAUGCACUGUUGGUGUGCUGACAGUUGUCAGUGAAGAUAGUCCUCAUGAGGGUCCAAGUUCAGUAGACCUCCAGCCCAUCUCCACUGCCAUCAUUCUGGAGGGAGGUAUUAAAAACUUGCCUCAGGCAGUUUGUCUGUUAUUUGGGCUUACAUAGGCUUACAUAGGUAAUAACAGCUAAAGAGAUAAGAAAUGGGAGAUAGAAAGAGAGAGAGAGAGAGAGAAGAAGGUAGUAAGUAGUAGGUAUUUAGUAAUUCUAAGUAGGGUUAAAUUUGUAAGCAGUCCACACAAAAUGAAAAAAAAAAUAAGUUAACUUUAAGCAUGGCUAUUAAGUUACAUGAACUUUCUGAAUUUUUUGGAGGCAACGAGUUUGCAUACUUUAAGUAAGGUCAACUAAUUAGAUUUUAUAGUGUGUAACAUUAGUGUUGUGUUGCUGCAUCAUCACAGCCUAGGCUCCUGCCAAGUUGGCUUAUGACUGAUUGACUGAAAUGAGAAAAUAGGUAUUCAAAACUAUUAUUAAAAUUGUUAUUACAUAUUAUAGAGAACUACUUUUUUUGUGAAUUAUGUCUAGUUUUUUUAAAGGGGGUGAACUUUUUAGUUUUUUUGUGCACUUUUUGUAGUCAAAUAUUGUAAGCAUUAUGUUACCACCAUGUGUUUGCAUUUGUUGUUAAAUGUUAGUUUCUUAGGUAUUGAAAAACAUUUAUUUUUUUUACGUUAAUGUAAAUUGUAAACAAUAAAUGUUUCACUAUUUUGUGAA